rnacentral:tRNA from 1 species
UUGCUUGAGCCAAAUUUGGCGCUACCGCCGCGGUCUACGGAACCGAAGGUCACAGGUUCGAAUCCUGUCGGGCGCG